UACGUAGGGGGCAAGCGUUGUCCGGAAUCAUUGGGCGUAAAGCGCGUGUAGGCGGCUCGAUAAGUCUGCUGUGAAAGUCCAGGGCUCAACCCUGGGAUGCCGGUGGAUACUGUCGAGCUCGAGUCCGGAAGAGGCGAGUGGAAUUCCUGGUGUAGCGGUGAAAUGCGUAGAUAUCAGGAGGAACACCUGUGGUGUAGACAGCUUACUGGACCACUUCUGACGCUGAGACACGAAAGCGUGGGUAGCAAACAGG
rnacentral:rRNA from 1 species